rnacentral:rRNA from 1 species
UCCUACGGGAGGCAGCAGUUGGGAAUCUUGGACAAUGGGGGAAACCCUGAUCCAGCCAUGCCGCGUGAGUGAUGAAGGCCUUCGGGUUGUAAAACUCUUUCGACGGGGACGAUAAUGACGGUACCCGUAGAAGAAGCUCCGGCUAACUUCGUGCCAGCAGCCGCGGUAAUCCGAAGGGGGCUAGCGUUGUUCGGAAUUACUGGGCGUAUAGCGCGCGCAGGCGGUCUUCCAAGUCAGUGGUGAAAGCCCGGAGCUCAACUCCGGAACUGCCAUUGAAACUGUUAGACUUGAGGACGAGAGAGGUGAGUGGAAUUCCCAGUGUAGAGGUGAAAUUCGUAGAUAUUGGGAAGAACACCGGUGGCGAAGGCGGCUCACUGGCUCGUAUCUGACGCUCAGGCGCGAUAGCGUGGGGAUCAAACAGGAUUAGAUACCCUGGUAGUCCACGCCGUAAACGUUGAAUGCUAGCCGUUGGGUAGCUUGCUAUUCAGUGGCGCAGCUAACGCAUUAAGCAUUCCGCCUGGGGAGUACGGCCGCAAGGUUGAAACUCAAAGGAAUUGACGG